rnacentral:rRNA from 1 species
UCCUACGGGGGGCAGCAGUGAGGAAUAUUGGUCAAUGGGAGAGAUCCUGAACCAGCCAAGCCGCGUGAGGGAAGACGGCCCUAUGGGUUGUAAACCCCUUUUGUCGGAGAACAAAACCCGGGACGAGUCCCGGACUGCGUGUAUCCGAAGAAAAAGCAUCGGCUAACUCCGAGCCAGCGGCCGCGGUAAUACGGAGGAUGCGAGCGUUAUCCGGAUUUAUUGGGUUUAAAGGGUGCGUAGGCGGUACAUUAAGUC